AUGGUGAUGGGAUAUUCCCCCUCUGAGUCUGUGGCCAUUGCCAACAGACUUAAUUGCCGCCUGGGCUCUUUCCCCACUACCUACCUUGGGACGCCCAUUAGUGACUCGCUUCUCUCUGUCGCGGACCUGCGGCCCUCCGUGACCAAGCUCCAGUCCCGGUGCGAGCCCUGGUAGGGGAGGUGGCUCUCUAAGGCGGCCCGGACUAUCCUUAUCAACUCAUCCCUCUCCAUCCUCCUCUUGUUUAUGAGUUUCUACAGCCUCCAUGAAUCUCUCCAUAAGGAGAUCGCCAAAAUUCAGUCCCGAUUCUACUGGGCUGGCGAGCAUGGCAAGCAGAAGUAUCACAUGGUCAGCUGGCCUGACAUCUGCAAGCCCAGGGAGCAGGGUGGCUUGGGCAUCAUGUGCUCUAAACGGAUGAAUAUUGUCCUUCUAUCCCGGUGGCUGUGGCGUAUCGCGCAGGGUCAUGGUGGCCUCUGGCUG
rnacentral:rRNA from 1 species